CGCGGCCUAUCAGCUUGUUGGUGAGGUAACGGCUCACCAAGGCAACGACGGGUAGCUGGUCUGAGAGGACGGUCAGCCACACUGGGACUGAGACACGGCCCAGACUCCUACGGGAGGCAGCAGCAGGGAAUAUUGCACAAUGGGCGAAAGCCUGAUGCAGCGACGCCGCGUGAGGGCUGAAGGCCUUCGGGUUGUAAACCUCUUUCAGGAGGGAAGAAGCGAAAGUGACGGUACCUCCAGAAGAAGACCCGGCCAACUACGUGCCAGCAGCCGCGGUAAUACGUAGGGGUCAAGCGUUGUCCGGAUUCAUUGGGCGUAAAGAGCUCGUAGGCGGCUCAGUAAGUCGGUCGUGAAAGCCCGGGGCUCAACCCCGGGACGCCGAUCGAAACUGCUGUGGCUAGGGUUCGGUAGAGGAGAGUGGAAUUCCCGGUGUAGCGGUGAAAUGCGCAGAUAUCGGGAGGAACACCAGUAGCGAAGGCGGCUCUCUGGGCCGACACCGACGCUGAGGAGCGAAAGCUAGGGGAGCAAACAGGAUUAGAUACCCUGGUAGUCCUAGCCGUAAACGUUGGGCACUAGGUGUGGCGGACUCAUUGACGUCUGCCGUGCCGUAGCUAACGCAUUAAGUGCCCCGCCUGGGGAGUACGG
rnacentral:rRNA from 1 species